CAUCAGGAGGGUUUGUCCAUAGGAAUCAGCCUGAGGAGUAAGGCUUGAGACUGGAGGAACCCACCUGCGCUGGAAUCUUACUAGAAGCCUAAGUGAUCCCAGACCUCAGGCCCAGAUCUGAGUUCCUCUUUAGAGUCAGUUUCCAUUCCACAGAGUACAGAACACUGUUAACUAAGUGGAGAAGAGAGUGCUAUGAGGAUUCUGGAUCCGCAUUCUUUCAUGUUCCUCAUCUUUAUUUCUGUCCCUCCACACAGGGAAAAUGAAAGGGCUCUAUGAGCAUUCGGGAGGGAGAAAGAAUCUCAGAACCAUUUUGAUGUUGUCAGAAGUGGGAAAAGCAGCCACUUACAACCGUCAGUCAUGACUUGCUCGAAAUGUCCUUUCUGUAUCUGUGAGCCUUCAGUGGCUCUAAUGAGGGCCCUCACCUUGCUGUGGAAGAAUUACAAAGUAUAGAAAAAGCCAAAAGGCAGGAUGACAGCCAAACAACCAAGUGUCUUAACUGGUAACUAAAACAGCAUUUAAAAGUUUUAAAGAAAUUCCUCUGUUUUUAAUCUGAAAAAAAUAAAUGUGUGGAACUGCAGAAAGAGAACUUUGC